GGUUGCCCUAGCAACCAGGGAACGAGCUUCCUGUAGCCGAUGCGGAGAAAAACAGCCACAGAGGAGGGCAUUGCAGAUCAAAAUGUGUAGCUAGCAUGACAGCAAGCAAGCCUGGAGACUGACUACACCCUGCCAGCUGAGCGCCAAGAUGUCUGCACUGUGACUGCUCGCUGACUUACCACCUGACAUUGUUGAAGAGCAGCUUGGAGCAGAAACUGUCUGUGUCGCAGGAAGAAGACAGGAAACGUCCUAUAAAAACACACACAGCAAAACAGCACGAAUCCGGCUGCGAUCCUCUUGUCCAUCUGCUUCCACUUCGUCUUGAUAACCAUCCAGCAGGAAAGGUGUGAUGUAAAGUGCAGGCCUCCAUCUGGAGUCAACUUUUUGGGUUUGCUCAGUGACAAUAUCACCCUUACAAGACAAGGUCAAUAACAAUUACAACUGAAAUAAGAUUUUUAGUGAACAGCUGGGCCCUUUGUCUACACAGUGGCAGUAGAAUACAUUGGCUGCUGUUCAAAAUCUCUGAAAAAACACUAAUUUGAAUCCAAAUCUUAAUUUAGCUAAUGUAUACCUUACAGCUAACAGCAUAUAAUAGUAUAACUAAAUGUCCUCUUGAUAGUGGUACAGGGCCUACACCGUAAAUAUACAUCUCUACAUAUGGUGUAGAUAAUAAUGUGUAACAGGAACAUGAUUAGUAAAGCUUAACAAUGGAUUAAAUGAAUAGUCACAAUGUAAAAGCUGUUGCUUGUAGUGACAAGCCCAUAGACAAUAAUAAACUGAUUCUACCGUUCAGCAUUUUAGCUGAACGGUAGAAUCAGCACCACUCUCAUUAGUGUUGUUAUCAGAUGCAGCAGCAGCAGAAAAAACUCUGAUAAACCCACUGUACGUGACCUGUCCAACACCAAACAGCAGACAAAGUUAGGGACUAGCUGGUGAACAUAGUGCAGCAUUUAACAUCUUAAGAGACAUAUAUUUCACUCUGGAAUGAAGACCAAACCAGAGCUGAAAGGAGAAUGAAUAUUUGACUCAUUCAUCAGGUAGCCAGAAAACACCUCCAGAUGAUGAUAAUGUUGCUCUGUGUCUGCUGUAUGCAUAAAUACCCAGUGUUUGGCAUAUCAACUACAUAGUGGAGCUGUGUUUGUAUUGUGUUUUAGGGUUGUGUUCAGGUAUUUCCACUGCCCCCAAGUGGCAAAUAAAUUUAAUUACAGCAGCUUUAAGCUCAUACAGGAGUUUUUAAAAAAUGUUCCAAGUCUUUGUUCCAUAAUAAACUAUGUAUCAUCUACAUA